rnacentral:rRNA from 1 species
UACGUAGGGGGCAAGCGUUGUCCGGAUUUAUUGGGCGUAAAGAGCUCGUAGGUGGUUUGUCGCGUUGUUCGUGAAAACUCACAGCUCAACUGUGGGCGUGCGGGCGAUACGGGCAGACUGGAGUACUGCAGGGGAGACUGGAAUUCCUGGUGUAGCGGUGGAAUGCGCAGAUAUCAGGAGGAACACCGGUGGCGAAGGCGGGUCUCUGGGCAGUAACUGACGCUGAGGAGCGAAAGCGUGGGGAGCGAACAGG